AAAUAACAAUUUCUGCUUCAACCUCUUCAACUUCAGGUUUGGAAAUAACAAUUUCUUCUUCAACCUCUUCAACUUCAGGUUUGGAAAUAACAAUUUCUGCUUCAACCUCUUCUACUUCAGGUUUGGAAAUAACAAUUUCUUCUUCAACCUCUUCUACUUCAGGUUUGGAAAUAACAAUUUCUGCUUCAACCUCUUCUACUUCAGGUUUGGAAAUAAC